rnacentral:lncRNA from 1 species
UGGGUUUUGGGGGGUUUUGGGGCGGGAGGAGCACAAUUGGGUGGUUUUGGGCUGGAAAGGAGUGAAUUUGGGUGGUUUUGGGUAGAAAUGAGAACAUUUUGGGUUGGUUUUGGGUAAGAUAACUGCCGUUGGGUCAUUUUUGGGGUGGAGAAGAGCACAUUUGGGUUGGUUUUGGGAUGCAAAUGAUCACAUUUGGGUUGGUUUUGGGUAGAGAUGAGCACAUUUGGGUUGGUUUUGGGUCGAGAACAGCACGUUUUGGUUGGUUUUGGGUAGAGAAGAGCACAUUUGGGUUGGUUUUGGGUGCGAUAACUGCCGUUGGGUCAUUUUUGGGGCGAAGAAGAGCACAUUUGGGUUGAUUCUGGGUAGAGAUGAAUGAAUUUGGGUUUGUUUUGGGUAGAGAAAAGCACAUUUUGGUUGGUUUUGGGUGCAAUAAUCGCUGUUUUGUUGUUUUUGGGGUAGAGAUGAGCAUAUUUGGGUUGGUUUUGGGUAGAGAAAAGCACAUUUUUUUUAGUUUUGGGUAGAGAAGAGCACAUUUGGGUUAGUUUUGGGUAGAGAAGAGCACAUUUUGGGUUUUUUGGUGCGAUAACUGCCGUUGGGUCAUUUUUGGGGUGG